AUGCACGUGUUUGUUCGCCAAUACAACAAAUUCCUUGGGUCAAGGAUGAGCGAUGAGGCAAGGGAAUUCCAUCUAAAUGCAAAUAAAUCACAUACUUACGAAUCCACAUAUCCAAUAGAGGAUGAUGCUGCAUCAAUAUACACACGCUCUGUUUUGCUGAAGUUCCAAGACGAGCUUUAUAAGUGUGGGAGUUAUGUAGUGACACCUGUGGUGCACGGUGCACAAUACAUGGUUAGUGUCGCACCAUCCAAAGUAAAGGAUGCAACAAAGAGGAAGUGGCGAAAUGUCAAGAUUGAUGACGACGGGUAG
rnacentral:rRNA from 1 species